rnacentral:rRNA from 1 species
GACGAACGCUGGCGGCGUGCCUAAUACAUGCAAGUCGAGCGGACAGAUGGGAGCUUGCUCCCUGAUGUUAGCGGCGGACGGGUGAGUAACACGUGGGUAACCUGCCUGUAAGACUGGGAUAACUCCGGGAAACCGGGGCUAACACCGGAUGGUUGUUUGAACCGCAUGGUUCAAACAUAAAAGGUGGCUUCGGCUACCACUUACAGAUGGACCCGCGGCGCAUUAGCUAGUUGGUGAGGUAACGGCUCACCAAGGCAACGAUGCGUAGCCGACCUGAGAGGGUGAUCGGCCACACUGGGACUGAGACACGGCCCAGACUCCUACGGGAGGCAGCAGUAGGGAAUCUUCCGCAAUGGACGAAAGUCUGACGGAGCAACGCCGCGUGAGUGAUGAAGGUUUUCGGAUCGUAAAGCUCUGUUGUUAGGGAAGAACAAGUACCGUUCGAAUAGGGCGGUACCUUGACGGUACCUAACCAGAAAGCCACGGCUAACUACGUGCCAGCAGCCGCGGUAAUACGUAGGUGGCAAGCGUUGUCCGGAAUUAUUGGGCGUAAAGGGCUCGCAGGCGGUUUCUUAAGUCUGAUGUGAAAGCCCCCGGCUCAACCGGGGAGGGUCAUUGGAAACUGGGGAACUUGAGUGCAGAAGAGGAGAGUGGAAUUCCACGUGUAGCGGUGAAAUGCGUAGAGAUGUGGAGGAACACCAGUGGCGAAGGCGACUCUCUGGUCUGUAACUGACGCUGAGGAGCGAAAGCGUGGGGAGCGAACAGGAUUAGAUACCCUGGUAGUCCACGCCGUAAACGAUGAGUGCUAAGUGUUAGGGGGUUUCCGCCCCUUAGUGCUGCAGCUAACGCAUUAAGCACUCCGCCUGGGGAGUACGGUCGCAAGACUGAAACUCAAAGGAAUUGACGGGGGCCCGCACAAGCGGUGGAGCAUGUGGUCUAAUUCGAAGCAACGCGAAGAACCUUACCAGGUCUUGACAUCCUCUGACAAUCCUAGAGAUAGGACGUCCCCUUCGGGGGCAGAGUGACAGGUGGUGCAUGGUUGUCGUCAGCUCGUGUCGUGAGAUGUUGGGUUAAGUCCCGCAACGAGCGCAACCCUUGAUCUUAGUUGCCAGCAUUCAGUUGGGCACUCUAAGGUGACUGCCGGUGACAAACCGGAGGAAGGUGGGGAUGACGUCAAAUCAUCAUGCCCCUUAUGACCUGGGCUACACACGUGCUACAAUGGACAGAACAAAGGGCAGCGAAACCGCGAGGUUAAGCCAAUCCCACAAAUCUGUUCUCAGUUCGGAUCGCAGUCUGCAACUCGACUGCGUGAAGCUGGAAUCGCUAGUAAUCGCGGAUCAGCAUGCCGCGGUGAAUACGUUCCCGGGCCUUGUACACACCGCCCGUCACACCACGAGAGUUUGUAACACCCGAAGUCGGUGAGGUAACCUUUUAGGAGCCAGCCGCCGAAGGUGGGACAGAUGAUUGGGGUG